AUAGUUGUAGAUAUCACCCUGCAACUUACACCUGGCAGCCCACUGAAGCUCAGCAGGUGUGAGCCUGGUCAGUACCUGGAUGGGAGACCUCCUGGGAAAAACUAAGGCUGCUGCUGGA
rnacentral:rRNA from 1 species